AGAGGUUGAUCCUGGCUCAGGACGAACGCUGGCGGCGUGCCUAAUACAUGCAAGUCGAGCGGACAGAUGGGAGCUUGCUCCCUGAUGUUAGCGGCGGACGGGUGAGUAACACGUGGGUAACCUGCCUGUAAGACUGGGAUAACUCCGGGAAACCGGGGCUAAUACCGGAUGGUUGUUUGAACCGCAUGGUUCAAACAUAAAAGGUGGCUUCGGCUACCACUUACAGAUGGACCCGCGGCGCAUUAGCUAGUUGGUGAGGUAACGGCUCACCAAGGCGACGAUGCGUAGCCGACCUGAGAGGGUGAUCGGCCACACUGAGACUGAGACACGGCCCAGACUCCUACGGGAGGCAGCAGUAGGGAAUCUUCCGCAAUGGACGAAAGUCUGACGGAGCAACGCCGCGUGAGUGAUGAAGGUUUUCGGAUCGUAAAGCUCUGUUGUUAGGGAAGAACAAGUACCGUUCGAAUAGGGCGGUACCUUGACGGUACCUAACCAGAAAGCCACGGCUAACUACGUGCCAGCAGCCGCGGUAAUACGUAGGUGGCAAGCGUUGUCCGGAAUUAUUGGGCGUAAAGGGCUCGCAGGCGGUUUCUUAAGUCUGAUGUGAAAGCCCCCGGCUCAACCGGGGAGGGUCAUUGGAAACUGGGGAACUUGAGUGCAGAAGAGGAGAGUGGAAUUCCACGUGUAGCGGUGAAAUGCGUAGAGAUGUGGAGGAACACCAGUGGCGAAGGCGACUCUCUGGUCUGUAACUGACGCUGAGGAGCGAAAGCGUGGGGAGCGAACAGGAUUAGAUACCCUGGUAGUCCACGCCGUAAACGAUGAGUGCUAAGUGUUAGGGGGUUUCCGCCCCUUAGUGCUGCAGCUAACGCAUUAAGCACUCCGCCUGGGGAGUACGGUCGCAAGACUGAAACUCAAAGGAAUUGACGGGGGCCCGCACAAGCGGUGGAGCAUGUGGUUUAAUUCGAAGCAACGCGAAGAACCUUACCAGGUCUUGACAUCCUCUGACAAUCCUAGAGAUAGGACGUCCCCUUCGGGGGCAGAGUGACAGGUGGUGCAUGGUUGUCGUCAGCUCGUGUCGUGAGAUGUUGGGUUAAGUCCCGCAACGAGCGCAACCCUUGAUCUUAGUUGCCAGCAUUCAGUUGGGCACUCUAAGGUGACUGCCGGUGACAAACCGGAGGAAGGUGGGGAUGACGUCAAAUCAUCAUGCCCCUUAUGACCUGGGCUACACACGUGCUACAAUGGACAGAACAAAGGGCAGCGAAACCGCGAGGUUAAGCCAAUCCCACAAAUCUGUUCUCAGUUCGGAUCGCAGUCUGCAACUCGACUGCGUGAAGCUGGAAUCGCUAGUAAUCGCGGAUCAGCAUGCCGCGGUGAAUACGUUCCCGGGCCUUGUACACACCGCCCGUCACACCACGAGAGUUUGUAACACCCGAAGUCGGUGAGGUAACCUUUUAGGAGCCAGCCGCCGAAGGUGGGACAGAUGAUUGGGGUGAAGUCGUAACAAGGUA
rnacentral:rRNA from 1 species